UAGUUUAAAAGUUGCUUUUAAAAUAUGUCAUUAGUGAGUUGGUGAUUAUAAUAAAAUCACAUCUCUAAAAAAUCCUUGCAUAGAUUUUUAGAGGCACAAUCAUCUUUAGCCUUAAAUGCUUGGAUCUUCAGACAUACAGUUUUUUAAAU